GGAGUUAGCCGGUGCUUCUUCUGUGAGUGAUGUCCUUCCUGCCGGUUAUUGACCCGCAGGCCUUCUUCCUCACUGAAAGUGCUUUACAACCCGAAGGCCUUCUUCACACACGCGGCAUGGCUGGAUCAGGGUUGCCCCCAUUGUCCAAUAUUCCCCACUGCUGCCUCCCGUAGGAGUCUGGGCCGUGUCUCAGUCCCAGUGUGGCUGAUCAUCCUCUCAGACCAGCUACGGAUCGUCGCCUUGGUGAGCCGUUACCUCACCAACCAGCUAAUCCGACAUAGGCUCAUCCGAUAGCGCGAGGCCCGAAGGUCCCCCGCUUUCCCCCGUAGGGCGUAUGCGGUAUUAGCCUGGGUUUCCCCAGGUUAUCCCCCACUACCGGGCAGAUUCCUAUGCAUUACUCACCCGUCCGCCGCUCGCCACCAGGGAGCAAGCUCCCCGUGCUGCCGCUCGACUUGCAUGUGUUAGGCCUGCCGCCAGCGUUCAAUCUGAGCCAGNGACACAACUCUACGUACGUAGACGGCGGUCGUCGACGACGGCG
rnacentral:rRNA from 1 species